rfam:Picea glauca, whole genome shotgun sequence.
AUGUAAAUUCCUACAACAUAACCCUAAUGCACCAAAUCCCAUUAGAAUUCUGCAGUUAAGUAUGCUCGGUAUAGAGUAGUAAUGGGAUGGGUGACCUUCUAGGAAGUCCUAGUGUUUUACAUG